GAUGAACGCUGGCGGCAUGCCUUACACAUGCAAGUCGAACGGCAGCACGGGUGCUUGCACCUGGUGGCGAGUGGCGAACGGGUGAGUAAUAUAUCGGAACGUACCUUAUCGUGGGGGAUAACGCAGCGAAAGCUGUGCUAAUACCGCAUAAGCCCUAAGGGGGAAAGCAGGGGACCGUAAGGCCUUGCGCGAUUAGAGCGGCCGAUACCUGAUUAGCUAGUUGGUGAGGUAAAGGCUCACCAAGGCAACGAUCAGUAGCUGGUCUGAGAGGACGAUCAGCCACACGGGGACUGAGACACGGCCCAGACUCCUACGGGAGGCAGCAGUGGGGAAUUUUGGACAAUGGGGGCAACCCUGAUCCAGCAAUGCCGCGUGAGUGAAGAAGGCCUUCGGGUUGUAAAGCUCUUUUGUCAGGGAAGAAACAGCAGCUCUAAUACAGUAUGCGAAUGACGGUACCUGAAGAAUAAGCACCGGCUAACUACGUGCCAGCCGCCGCCGUAA
rnacentral:rRNA from 1 species